rnacentral:tRNA from 1 species
UCUCUGGUCGCUCAGAUGGUAAAGAAUCUGCCUGCAAUGCAGGAGGCACGGGUUCAAUCCCUGGCUUGGGAA